CCCCUGAAGUUGCUGGAAGGCCUUAGAACUCAGAGCAAGCUUCUUCCCUUUUUCCCUCUUUCUCUCUCUAGGGUUUUUCUCUCUCUAGGUAAAAUUCGCCGUUUCGUGCCGAUUUCGCACCGUCCGUGUUGCUCGCUGGUUUGGAGACUCAAGGGCAGUGCCUGGAGCGUGGGGAGAGGGAAGUUUGCUGAGUUUUCUGUGAGGUUACUAUCUGGGAAGCUAUUUGAAAGCUUUAGAGAGGUUUUUGAGCCUCUUUGAGCUGAACGUGUACUCUUGGGAGCUGGUUUGGAGGGUAUUCUAAUUAAGGCGAGAGUGCGACCGAGCUUUAGAGCACCUUUAGUGGACUUGUGAGAGCUCUUGGAGACUCAUCUUGAGCAGAGUUGAGACCUUGUGGAGCGGACUUUGGGAUUUUCUUUGGACUGAUUGAAGCCUA